rnacentral:rRNA from 1 species
GAUGAACGCUGGCGGCGUGCCUAAUACAUGCAAGUCGAGCGAACGGACGAGAAGCUUGCUUCUCUGAUGUUAGCGGCGGACGGGUGAGUAACGCGUGGAUAACCUACCUAUAAGACUGGGAUAACUUCGGGAAACCGGAGCUAAUACCGGAUGAUAUUUUGAACCGCAUGGUUCAAAAGUGAAAGACGGUCUUGCUGUCACUUAUAGAUGGAUCCGCGCUGCAUUAGCUAGUUGGUAAGGUAACGGCUUACCAAGGCAACGAUGCAUAGCCGACCUGAGAGGGUGGUCGGCCACACGGGAACUGAGACACGGUCCAGACUCCUACGGGAGGGAGCAGUAGGGAAUCUUCCGCAAUGGGCGAAAGCCUGACGGAGCAACGCCGCGUGAGUGAUGAAGGUCUUCGGAUCGUAAAACUCUGUUAUUAGGGAAGAACAGAUGUGUAAGUAAAUGUGCACAUCUUGACGGUACCUAAUCAGAAAGCCACGGCUAACUACGUG